GGGUUUAAAGCGUAGACGCAGGCGGUUCUGUAAGUCAGAUGUGAAAUACCCCGGGCUUAACCUGGGAACUGCGUUUGAAACUGCAGAGCUAGAGUGCGGCAGAGGGAGGGUGGAAUUCCAUGUGUAGCAGUGAAAUGCGUAGAGAUAUGGAAGAACAUCGAUGGCGAAGGCAACCUCCUGGGCUAGCACUGACGCUCAUGCACGAAAGCGUGGGGAGCAAAACAGGAUUUAGAUACCCUGGUAGUCCACGCCCUAAACUAAUGUCAACUAGUUGUCGGGUCUUAAUAGACUUGGUAACGUAGCUAACGCGUGAAGUUGACCGCCUGGGGAGUACGGUCGCAAGAUUAAAAACU
rnacentral:rRNA from 1 species